rnacentral:rRNA from 1 species
CACGUAGGGGGUAAGCGUUAUCCGGAUUUACUGGGUGUAAAGGGAGCGUAGACGGCUCGAUAAGUCUGAUGUGAAAGCCCGGGGCUCAACCCCGGGACUGCAUUGGAAACUGUUGAGCUAGAGUGCAGGAGAGGUAAGUGGAAUUCCUAGUGUAGCGGUGAAAUGCGUAGAUAUUAGGAGGAACACCAGUGGCGAAGGCGACUUACUGGACUGUUACUGACGUUGAGGCUCGAAAGCAUGGUGAGCAAACAGG